rnacentral:rRNA from 1 species
CAAGUCGAGCGGAAUAUGGGAGCUUGCUCCCUGAUGUUAGCGGCGGACGGGUGAGUAACACUUGGGUAACCUGCCUGUAAGACUGGGAUAACUCCAGGAAACCGGGGCUAAUACCGGAUGGUUGUUUGAACCUCAAGGUUCAAACAUAAAAUGUGGCUUCGGCUACCACUUACAGAUGGACCCGCGGCGCAGUAGCUAGUUGGUGAGGUAACGGCUCACCAAGGCAACGAUGCGUAGCCGACCUGAGAGGGUGAUCGGCCACACUGGGACUGAGACACGGCCCAGACUCCUACGGGAGGCAGCAGUAGGGAAUCUUCCGCAAUGGACGAAAGUCUGACGGAGCAACGCCACGUGAGUGAUGAAGGUUUUCGGAUCGUAAAGCUCUGUUGUUAUGGAAGAACAAGUACCGUUCCAAUAGGGCGGUACCUUGACUGUACCUAACCUGAAAGCCACGGCUAACUACGUGCCAGCAGCCGCGGUAAUACAUACGUGGCAAGCGUUGUCCGGAAUUAUUGGGCGUAAAGGGCUCGCAGGCGGUUUCUUACGUCUGAUGUGAAAGCCCCCGGCUCAACCGGGGAGGGUCAGUGGAUACUGGGGAACUUGAGUGCAUAAGAGGAGAGUGAAAUUCCAUUUGUAUCGGUGAAAUGCAUAGAGAUGUGGAUGAACACCAGU